UUCUCUUUGUUUCUCAUUCUUCCGUCGUGUAUAUAUGCUUCCUCUAUGCUCACUCUUCUAACUCCGGCAACAGAACAUCCAUCAGCAUGGUAUUGUUCAAACUGGGAGAUUAGGCCAGAUAUUGGAAACUGGUUCUCGCAAUUUUUUUCUGAAAUUCUUUAGGUGAUAGUUCUAAUGGCUUCUGGACAGGUUAAGUGGAACAUUGUAGUUAUAUGCGCAAAAGAAUGUAGCCAUACUGUUAUAGAGGGGGGUGAAGCCUCAGAAUCUUCUUCAAUGCAGAAGUGAGCAAAGCCCAAUAAUCUUACAGAUAUUUGAAAGUAUGUGUGUGGAUUUUCAAGACACGGUGCAGGCUUUGCAUCAUUCCAAGUAUAAGGUGAGUUUCUUUCUCGAUUAAUAUUGUGAACAGAAAUUGAAUCAAGGUGCAAGGAACUCCAAUUAGAGAUACCUCAGAUCCAUGCCUAAAACUAAAACCUAUCAGUUCUUGACAAGCUAAUACUUAACAAUUUGCUCAUGUUUUUUUGCCUUCCAUGUAAAUGCAGCCUUUAUCUUUAGGGAUGUUCAUGUGCGGGUCUUUCUAACUUAUAGAAUUGAACUUUUAUCCAUUAUCAUUGAUUGAACCACCAACUAAUAAAAUGGGGGAGAAAUGCCUCUAACUUUUUCCAUAGCAAGCAUGAUCAGGUAGCAAAAAUACGUUAUUUAGUGUUUAGUUGCACAUAAAUCUAAAUAGUAGCAACUGAUAUCCCUCUUCUAUUUUCUCCAUACGACGCACCAAUGGGUAACAAAAAUAUCCAUCAAAUUUGCAUGAACAGUGUUAUGUUCCAAUCAAUAAAGAUUUCACCAUUGGAGACCAAACAAUCAGGCAAAAUAAUAGUACAGUACAAUGGACCUAUUCCAGCUACACAACCAAAAGAAAAUUUUGCUGUUGUGCUUGCAGAUUUAGCUUCACUGCAGGCAGAAUGCAGCUAAGUUAGAAAAUAGACAAUACAACAAAUUCAUGAUGCAAGAAGGCUCCCAUUUCGACUUGGCCUCUACAAUGAUAGAAUGAGCGGAAACUGCAGAGCCCCUGUCGAGGCGACGGGGAGGCGAUUCUCGAGCGAGAUCCCGCCGGCCCUGAAGACUGGAAGAUCAUACGACGUGGAUGGACAGAGAUUAGAGCGUGACAGAAUAUUAGAGAUGCAGAUGGAAGGCAAUCCCCUGGGCCUGCAGGAGGCAUGGAUGCAGACAAGGAGAGCGAUCAAGCGGAUCGCGGUGGAAAGGAAUUAGAUCGCCUGGGCAAGGAAGGUUUCUGACGAGAAACCAUCUGUUCCAGCAAAUGAUGUGGUGACGAAGAUCAGGGAUAGGAUGACUACAAUGAGAGAGGAUCUGGCCCAUGGACUGGGGGAGAGGAAAGCCAAACCAAAUCGGAUGCUGAUCUCAUACUCGCCGGACAAGGAUCCACCGGACAAAGGAGGAGGGCACUAAAGAUCCGAGAUGGAGAAAGGGGAUCAACAUAAAAGGAAAAUUACUGCUAUCAAAUGAGUCGACCAGAUACAAUCGGAUCCAGAUCAAGAAAUCAUGGACUUAAAAGGCCCAGAGGCAUAUGAGAGGUGCACACAAUCCUUUGAGCCUUGUCUUGCCAGUGCGCCUGCUCUAACAAUGGCAAACUAGAACCAGAAGGGCAAGGCCGCCCCAGAGGCCGGCAAGGGUGGGACGCACUUUGGCGGUGCUGGCAACAUCUCCAGGGUGCUCCUCCGUGGAGAAUCCUCCCGCAACCAAGAUGGUCAUGCGAACAUGAGAAGGUACGGUGCUAGCGCCGAUGUUGUUGCCCCGAGGUUCCCUGUCAACAUUGCACCUCGGGUCAACGAUGUCGUCGAGCUGGACCUCACUAAGGAGAGGGAGGCCAUGCAGUACAGGUGGAUCGUUGUAGGGCUCUACUUCUCGCCACUGCCCUACAGCAAUGAGGGCCUGAUCAGUGCCCUAAAAAAAAGUGGGGUCUCCGUGGUCACCUCAGCUACAAGCCACUCAAGAACAACUGCUUCCUCCUGGAGUUUGAACGGAAGGGGGACCGGCGCUUCAUCCUCGACAACAGUCCGUGGACCUACAAUGGUGUUGCUUUUCUGAUGGUUGCGAUGGAUGGCGGUCAUCCCCCGGGCGACAUGGAGGUGGCCUAUAUGCCAAUAUGGGUCCGCAUCCACGAUGUCCCCCGAUCAUGUUGGAUGAGGGGGUGGCUUGGAAGCUGGGUGCAAAGCUUGGCAAGGUUCUGGAGGUUGACACAGACAAUUGUGGUAAGGUCUGGGGUGAUUUCAUCCGGGUUCGUGGGGAACAUGGUGUAGAUGAACCUCUCAGAGAUGAGCUUACUUCUCAUGAUAAGGGAAAUAAUGAGUUGUUUUUCCUAGAGUUGAAGUAUGAGAGAGCGCCACAUUUUUGCCGUUUUUGUGGUUUUCUCGGGCAUGGACAACGCGAUUGUAAGUUGCCGGUGGACCUCCAAGAGAUGAGGUACACGGCAACAAUGCAUGCCUCCCCGUAUAAGAAAAUCAAUAGUAGAGGGGGAUAUGUUGCCCCGGUAGCUAGUAGUGCCCGUUGUCUUCUCAGCUUCGGGAAGGAUGUGGCUCGAGACAGAGGCAGCCCCAUCAGGUCAUAGUACGAGAGAGUCCCCGACGAGAUCCCUGGCGAACCCAAUGGUGCAUGCGGCUAUUGUUGUAGUGAGCAAACUGCGGGUCUCGAAUGGCGGGUCCUGCACUAAUACACAGGUGCCCUCGGUGGCGCCUACUACUAUUCUCAUUACUGGGAAUGGAGAGGGGAACGGGAUACAGGCCAAGCUGGACCCGAGCCCUCCGGAGGAUUUAUAGCAGAACAUGGCAGAUGCUACAGUUCAGACGCCACCAUGUACCAUGAAGCCAACAGAGCAGGUGCAGAUAGCAAAGGACGCAUAGGAUGAGGACCCACUAUACCAGCCGGGUUUUGAACCGGGGUCUCAGUCGAUUGUUGGCGCGGCUGUAGGCUCCACUCUGAACUUGACGGAAGCAAAGUCAAAGGGGAAUGCCAUGCAGAAUGCUGCACUGACUGGACCGAGCCUCACCCCGGACGGCCUUGUGUUCCUUGAGAAAAAGAAGGGGACCAAGAAGCAUGUCAAGGCUCCUGAAAUAACAACAUCAGUACUGGGCAAGAGGGGCGACCGUGAGAGGGAAUAGAAGGCAGAAAAUGGGAAGACCAAGGAUGGGGCAAGCAGUUAUCAGAAGAACAAGAUCAAAGGUGCAGGAUCUGAGGAAGAAAGUGCAGCAGGAGGAGCAGGUGGCAGUGAGGAAGCAACCGGCAUAGGGGCUACUAGUCAACUGGCGGAUGCCGAGGAAGGCGCCCACCAGGAGCCAUGACGCUGCUAAGUUGGAACUAUCGAGGCCUCGGGCAACCUUGCACACUUCAAGAACUCGUGUGCCUUGUGCACACCUACAAGCCCAAGCUCGUCUUCCUUUCCAAGACUCGGCAAAAUAAUAAGUACGUCAAAAAUCUCAAGUGGAGGCUGGGCCUCUAGCAUUGUAUCGCGCAACCCGGCAUCGGAAAAGGUGACGGCAUUGCCCUAUUUUAUGAUGAGAGUAUUGAAAUAAAAAAGAUUGUCGUGGGUGCGAGAUACAUCGAUGUUUUGAUCCGGUUAAACCCUCUUGGCUGCCAAUGGAGGGCCACCUUUGUUUAUGGGGAGCUGAAAGCUCAUGAGCGCCACCAGGUGUGGACCUUGCUAUGGAGAAUAAAGGAUUCAGCGAACAUGUCGUGGCUCAUGAUUGAUGACUUCAACAAAACCAUGUGACAGUAUGAACACUUCUCUGCUUCAAAUAGAUCGGAGAAGAAUAUGGUGAAUUUUCGCACGGUUCUUGCUGACUGUAACUUGUUUGACCUGGGCUUCAAAGGACCGGCGUGGACAUAUAACAACAAACAAGAGGGUAGGAAGAAUGUCAGAGCUAGACUGGACAGAGCGGUCGCCUCCCCGGACUGGUCUGACCACUUCAGGAACGCCACGGUGGAACACAUAUGCUCAUCGCAUUCUGACCAUCUGCCCAUCCUGUUGCGCCUUGGUAAGAGGCAGGAAUGGAGAUCAAAAAGAGAAUGGACCUAAGAUUUUUAGAUAUGAACAAAUGUGGGAAAGGGUGAACAUGCUACAGCCGGCAAUAGAGAAUUCUUGGAAGAAGGGAGGCCAAGCUGGAAAUCUGCGGCAAGUUGGAGAGAAGCUUUCUACGAUGCAAAGAGAUUUGCGAGACUGGGCGCAGAAGGACUUCGGGUCGGUUUUGAAACAAACUGCAGAAAUUAGGAAACGGUUGAGCAUCUUGUGGAACCUUCCAUACUCCCAUGAACAGCAGCGUGAGGUAAACAAGUUAUCAAAGGACCUGGAUGAACUUCUCCUGCGGGGGGAACUAAUGUGGAGGCAAGAUCAAGAGUGACUUCUAUUAGAGAAGGCGAUAGAAACUCCAAAUGGUUCCAAAGUAAAGCAACAUGGAGGAACAAAAAGAAUAAUAUAAUAAAGCUGAAAGAUUCUAGUGGGGUUUGGAUAGAGGACAAAUCAGGUUUGGAAGAGAUGACAAAUUCUUUUUUCAAAGAGCUGUAUGAGAAGGAGGGUGGGGUCACGCCGAAUGAAAUAAUGGACUUAUUUGAUGUGAAAGUAAUGCAAGAAAUGAAUGAUAUGCUGAAAUAAUGGAGUUAUUUGAUGUGAAAGUAAUGCAAGAAAUGAAUGAUAUGCUGACCAAACCUUUCUCUGCAUUGGAAAUCAGUGACGCCUUGUUUCAAAUUGGUCCGCUUAAGGCACCCGGUCCGGAUGGAUUUCCAGCACGUUUUUACCAAAGGAAUUGGGCUGUCCUCAGGGAUGAUGUGACCAAGGCUGUAAUAGAUUUCUUUAAACAUGGGGUGCUCCCUGAGGGCACAAAUGACACUGUUAUCGUGCUUAUUCCAAAAGUAAAGGACCCUUAGUCCCUGAAAGAUUACCGACCGAUCAGUCUGUGCAAUGUCAUCUACAAAGUGGUGCCGAAGUGCCUAGUGAACCAACUACGUCCUAUCCUGGGUGAUAUCAUCUCAGAAACCCAGAGCGCUUUCAUCCCGGUCAGAUUGAUUACGGACAACACGAUCAUUGCCUUUGAGUGUUUCCAUAAAAUCCAGCAUAGCAAAAAUACGCGUGAUACACAUUGUGCGUACAAAUUGGAUCUGACCAAAGCAUAUGAGAGGGCGGACUGGGGUUUCUUGGAAGGUGUACUACGGACGAGUAGUUUUUCCAGCAAAUGGACAAACUGGGUGAUGCAGUGUGUCCGUUCAGUGAGAUACUCAGUAAGAUGUAAUGAUGAGCUUUUGGAACCAUUCUGCCUGUCUAGAGGUCUACGGCAAGGGGACCCACUCAACCCCUACCUAUUUUUGUUUGUGGCGGAAGGUCUGGUAAAUCUUAUAAAUCAUGAGAUCUCGGCCGGAAGGGUGAAUCCUAUCAAGAUUGCUCGUAACAGCCCUAGAAUCUCUAAUCUUCUCUUUGUCGAUGACAGCUUGUUAUUUUUCAAGGCAUCCAUAGAGCAGGCCAAAGCGAUCAAGAAGGUUCUGGAUACCUUCCAGAAGUGCACGGGAAACUGCUAAGUGCAAACAAGUGCUCGCUCCUUUUUAGCAAACUAUGUCCGGCCGAAACAAGAGACGCAAUUAAGACAGUUCUUGGGGUACAAUUGGAGGUCUUUCAGAGCAAGUGCUUGGGACUGCCCACGCUGUAAGGGAGAAUGAAGGAUGAACACUUCCAACCCAUCAUGGAUAGGUUUGGGAAACGAUGUAACGAUUGGUCUGAGAGGUUCAUGUCGUAUGCAGCUAAGGAAGUCCACAUCAAAUCAGUUGUCCAAGCCCUUCCAACCUUUACAAUGAGCGUGUUCAAGCUCUCGAAAGGAUUCUUUGAGAAAUAUGAAAGAAUGAUUAGGGACUUCUGAUGGGGGGACGAAAAAGGCCAUAGAAGGGUACACUGGAUGGCUUGGAGCGCAUGAUUAAACCUAAACGUGUCGGAUUUCGGGAUUCAGCAACCCGUGAGAGGUUCUAACACUGGGGUGCGUGCGGAGAUCUCAACCUGCCCAGCCUGCCUACUCGCGAUCCUCCCUAGCCUAGCGCGUAGAGCUCGCAGAGACACAAAGACACGAAGAUUUAUACUGGU